rnacentral:rRNA from 1 species
AUUGAACGCUGGCGGAAUGCUUUACACAUGCAAGUCGAGCGGCAGCGCGGGGCAACCUGGCGGCGAGCGGCGAACGGGUGAGUAAUGCAUCGGAACGUACCCAGUCGUGGGGGAUAACUGUCCGAAAGGACAGCUAAUACCGCAUACGUCCUGAGGGAGAAAGCGGGGGAUCGCAAGACCUCGCGCGAUUGGAGCGGCCGAUGCCGGAUUAGCUAGUUGGUAGGGUAAAGGCCUACCAAGGCGACGAUCCGUAGCUGGUCUGAGAGGACGACCAGCCACACUGGAACUGAGACACGGUCCAGACUCCUACGGGAGGCAGCAGUGGGGAAUUUUGGACAAUGGGGGCAACCCUGAUCCAGCCAUUCCGCGUGAGUGAAGAAGGCC